GUUCGGAGGGGCUAGAACUGGGUGAUACGCACAGGCUGCGCUGAAUCUGUCUUUUCUCCCCUCCUAGGUGGACAUCGAGGCCCUGUGGGUGGCCCUACAGCGUGGAAGGGAUGACCGAGCUUUGGGACAUGUCCUGGAAACCUAAGGUGCUGGAGCUAGAAGAGACUUGAUAGCACUUCAGAGACCAUCAGGCUGUUUCGUGGAACUUCCACCAAAGAGAUGCAGAAAUGGAGACUCCAGAGCUGGAGAGAGAGAGAUGACUCAACUGUUAAAAGCACUGACUGCUCUUCCAGAGGUCCUGAGUUCAAUUCCCAGCAACCACAUGGUGGCUCACAAUUAUCUGUAAUGGGGAUCCGAUGCCCUCCUCUGGUGUGUCUGAAGACAGUGAUGGUGUACUGACAUAUAUGAAGUA
ensembl:processed_transcript Snhg15 small nucleolar RNA host gene 15